GUCUAGUGGGCAUGAGUCAUGUUUGAUAUAGUUAUCAUUUCUAUGGUUAAAGCUGACCAUUUUGUAGGAAGACGUAUGGGUUCUCGUCAAAUGCAAGCUGUACUACUGUGAAAAAGUGUACUAAUUUUUGCAGUGCAUUAACUUGAUCAUGGGAUUCUCCGCCAUGGCAGCAAAGAGACAACAUGGGGUGGAGAUGCAGGUCGUCAUUACACUGAAGGCAUUGCGUUCUGUCAGGGCGUUGGGUUCGAUGCAGAGCAUCGGAGACGUUGCCGUUGUCCUUGCACGACUCAUCAGAUCCAACCUCAGGCCCGCGCCAGCUAUGUACGGAGCCCUCGAUACGGUGCUCAGUCUCUGCAACUGCAACUCGAUGCCUUGCAUGAAGCUGCCAGCUAUUGAGGCCCUCUCUUAAUUACCCAGUUCUGAAUGGAGUCAGUUGAGGUCGUCUAUAAAUUUCCUUGUGAUGUGCUUGCAAACCAAGACUUUGUUGAGGCUUUUCUGCGGGGUCAGGGGAGACGCCAGUGAUCAAGCGGCAGCGGCCUACAGCCUGGGAGACCUGCACAAGGGAGCCGCCAAGAUCUCCAACGACAUCCUCGACUCUGUCGGGGUUUCAUUAUAUGCAACAACAAAAAAUUCGACAACAGUAUACGCGACAAAUGGUGCUAUUUGCGUCUGCUGCAAUCUCCUCAUACUUACCAGGGUUGAGUGCCCAACAUUUCCGAAGAUGGCACCCGAGACGUGUCCGCAGCCAGAAGCAGCGAAGUUGCGGUACAAGAAGCUGGAAGAUUCAGAUCUCCUUAUUAGCGAGAUAACUCUUGGAACAGUAUGUGCAGAGCUGAACCUUCAUGUUUCUGUUGUUGUUGUUGGUCCAGUUUUUUUACAUCUUAGUCUAAUGUUUACUUCUCUUAGAUGAUCUUUGGAUAGCAAAUAACAGAGAAGCCAUCCCAUGAUAUGCUCUCUUAUUCUUUUAAUCAGGGCAUCAACAUACUGGACACCGCAGAAAUUGCCGACAACUUUGGCUCCAAAGUUUGCUUUAUGUCUUCAGGCUAGAUAGGUAUGUCGCACGUUACGGUGAAUUCAGUUACAAUUCAACCAAAUGGAGGCCAAGCGUCCCAUGUGUGGAUCAAUGGAAAGCUUUUAGGAACUAAUUGGUAAAGGGAAGGUAGAAUAUAUCGGUGUUUCCAAUGAAACCACGUACGGAGUAAUGCAGUUUGUACAUGCUGCAAAGCUUGAUGGACUUCCAAAGAUUAUGAGCAUCUAGAAUGGUUAUAGUCAACUUGUGAGAUGCAGCUUCGAAGGUGAAACAGAGAUGUCAUCCAUAAUUUAUUCAUUUUCAUUCACUGGAAUUCCAUGCCAUCCCUGUUGUUCUGAAACUUAUUUGCAGCCAUGUAAUUUAGAGAAAGAGGGAGGAAAGAACUCCUCGGUUGUAGUUCAGAUCAUCGGCCUGCUGUCAUCUCUUUCAUAAUUAAAAUUUUAGUCG